GUCUCCCGCUCUGCUCCGCCUCCAGCAUUCACUGCACUGAUCCCAGGCUCCACGCCUCAGAACUGGAGCCAGGAGCCGCUACCGGACCACAUGACCUAGCAUGCAUCGCGGCCGCGACGCCAGCUUCCCAUUGGUGGUAGUGGCGGAUAUCGCCGCACGGUGGCCUGAAGUCCCGCCUCCGCCCUGCGGCGAACAGUUUGGACCUUCGCGGCGGGGAGCCAUGCAGCCCUGGCAGGCCCUGGCCUGGUACCGGCGGAUGUCUUUGGUCUACGGACUUGGUGCCUGGACUGUGUUUGGCACCAUGUUUUACUUUUACGGGAAGAAUAAGGAAGAGCCUUUAGUAAGUCGUGAAGUGGAGCAAAAGGAUCUCCCAAGAGAUGAAAGUGGCAUCGUACUUGAGCCCCUGAAAGGAUUUUACGUGGAGAGGUCUGUCGUGUAUAUAGAAGAUUAUGUACCACUUACAGAACGGAUCCACAAUACUGUGAAAAAAUGGACUGGUGAUUCUGGUUCUAAACCAUGA
rnacentral:lncRNA from 1 species